GUAGUCUCGCACAGAUGCAUAUCAAUAAGCGGAGGAAAAGAAACUAACAAGGAUUCCCCUAGUAACGGCGAGUGAAGCGGGAAGAGCUCAAAUUUGAAAUCUUAAAGGGUUUCCCUUUACGAAUUGUAGUUUAAAGAAGUGUUUUCUGUUGAGGUUUUGGUAAAAGUUCUUUGGAAUAGGACAUCAUAGAGGGUGAGAAUCCCGUAUUUGACCUUUACUUUCAACUUUGUGAUACACUUUCAAAGAGUCGGAUUGUUUGGGAAUGCAGUCCAAAAUGGGUGGUAAAUUUCAUCUAAAGCUAAAUAUUGGCGAGAGACCGAUAGCGAACAAGUACCGUGAGGGAAAGAUGAAAAGAACUUUGAAAAGAGAGUUAAACAGUACGUGAAAUUGUCAAAAGGGAAGUGUUUGACACCAGUGUUGUUUUUCUGAAAAUCAAUUAAAGAACUGUUUAUGCUAAGCUGUUUAGACUUUAUCAGCUAUCUGCUUUAGUUUUGAGCUUUUCUUUAAUGCACUUUUCAGUUAACAAGUCAACAUCAAUUUCUUUUGCUGUAAAAAAGCUUGAGGAAGGUGGCUUGAGAUUCGUCUUAAGUGUUUAUAGCCUCUUGCCUAUGCAGUCGGAGAGAUUGAGGUCUGCAGCGUAGAUCCUUCGGGGCUAAAUGCAUUUGUGCUAAGUUAUAAGCAUUUUAUAGACAACUUGUUGACUAUGAUUUGUCUUGUAGCUUACUCGCUUAUGUUAUUUUACCUACGCUUAGGAUGUUGACGCAUGAGAUAUACGC
rnacentral:rRNA from 1 species